UACGUAGGGGGCGAGCGUUGUCCGGAUUUAUUGGGCGUAAAGAGCUCGUAGGCGGUGUGUCACGUCGGCCGUGAAAACCUGCAGCUUAACUGUGGGCGUGCGGUCGAUACGGGCAUCACUGGAGUUCGGCAGGGGAGACUGGAAUUCCUGGUGUAGCGGUGAAAUGCGCAGAUAUCAGGAGGAACACCGGUGGCGAAGGCGGUUCUCUGGGCAUUACCUGACGCUGAGGAGCGAAAGUGUGGGGAGCGAACAGG
rnacentral:rRNA from 1 species